rnacentral:rRNA from 1 species
GUAGGUGGCAAGCGUUGUCCGGAAUUAUUGGGCGUAAAGCGCGCGCAGGUGGUUCUUUAAGUCUGAUGUGAAAGCUCCCGGGCUCAACCGGGGAGGGUCAUUGGAAACUGGGGAACUUGAGUGCAGGAGAGGAAAGUGGAAUUCCACGUGUAGCGGUGAAAUGCGUAGAUAUGUGGAGGAACACCAGUGGCGAAGGCGACUUUCUGGCCUGUAACUGACACUGAGGCGCGAAAGCGUGGGGAGCAAACAGGAUUAGAUACCCUGGUAGUCCACGCCGUAAACGAUGAGUGCUAAGUGUUGGGGGGUUUCCGCCCCUCAGUGCUGCAGCUAACGCAUUAAGCACUCCGCCUGGGGAGUACGGUCGCAAGACUG